GACGAACGCUGGCGGUGUGCUUAACACAUGCAAGUCGAACGGCAGCACCGUAAUGGCGGGCUCUUGAGGGGGGAAAGGGGGAGAAAGACGAGGGAUACAUCGCAAUUUCCUUUGUAGUAGGGGGGGAAAUAGGGAAACAUACUCGAAUAGACCAUACGGCAUGGGGGGGGGAGGAAGGGAUCGUUGUGGUUAGGGCGGAGGUACGGGCCGAUGUCGGUUUAGCUGGGGGGAUGGGUAAACGACCACCAAGGCGACGGUCCGUAGCUGGGCUGAGAGGGUGAUCAGCCACACUGGAACUGAGACACGGUUCAGACUCCGACGCGAGGCAGCAGUGGGGAAUAUUGGACAAUGGGCGCAAGCCUGAACCAGCCAUACCGCGUGGGUGAAGAAGGCCUUCGGGUUGUAAAGCCCUUUUGUUGGGAAAGAAAAGCAGCAGGUUAAUACGCCGCUGUUCUGACGGUACCCAAAGAAUAAGCACCGGCUAACUUCGUG
rnacentral:rRNA from 1 species